rnacentral:rRNA from 1 species
UACGUAGGUGGCAAGCGUUGUCCGGAUUUACUGGGCGUAAAGCGUGCGCAGGCGGUUCGUUGUGUCGGCGGUGAAAGCCCCGGGCUCAACCUGGGAAUGGCCGUUGAAACUGGCGAACUGGAGUGUGGCAGAGGGGGGUGGAAUUCCGCGUGUAGCAGUGAAAUGCGUAGAGAUGCGGAGGAACACCGAUGGCGAAGGCAGCCCCCUGGGCUGACACUGACGCUCAGGCACGAAAGCGUGGGGAGCAAACAGG